rnacentral:rRNA from 1 species
UACAGAGGGUGCGAGCGUUAAUCGGAAUUACUGGGCGUAAAGCGUGCGUAGACGGUUAUGUAAGUUAGGUGUGAAAGCCCCGGGCUCAACCUGGGAAUUGCAUUUAAGACUGCAUAGCUAGGGUGCGGAAGAGGGAAGCGGAAUUUCCGGUGUAGCGGUGAAAUGCGCAGAUAUCGGAAGGAACAUCAGUGGCGAAAGCGGCUUCCUGGUCCAGCACCGACGUUCAGGCACGAAAGCGUGGGGAGCAAACAGG